rnacentral:tRNA from 1 species
UAGGAUAAGGCAUAAGGGUUCCAUGGAGAUUUUUGAAUUCUUAGGUAUAGGUUCAGCUCCUAUUAUCCUAG